UGGGGAAUAUUGGACAAUGGGCGAAAGCCUGAUCCAGCCAUGCCGCGUGUGUGAAGAAGGUCUUCGGAUUGUAAAGCACUUUAAGUUGGGAGGAAGGGCAUUAACCUAAUACGUUAGUGUUUUGACGUUACCGACAGAAUAAGCACCGGCUAACUCUGUGCCAGCAGCCGCGGUAAUACAGAGGGUGCAAGCGUUAAUCGGAAUUACUGGGCGUAAAGCGCGCGUAGGUGGUUUGUUAAGUUGAAUGUGAAAUCCCCGGGCUCAACCUGGGAACUGCAUCCAAAACUGGCAAGCUAGAGUAUGGUAGAGGGUAGUGGAAUUUCCUGUGUAGCGGUGAAAUGCGUAGAUAUAGGAAGGAACACCAGUGGCGAAGGCGACUACCUGGACUGAUACUGACACUGAGGUGCGAAAGCGUGGGGAGCAAAC
rnacentral:rRNA from 1 species